AACAGCCGCGGUAAUUCCAGCUCCAAUAGCGUAUAUUAAAGUUGUUGCAGUUAAAAAGCUCGUAGUUGAAUUUCGGGGUUAGUAGGUUGGUCAUGCCUCUGGUAUGUACUGGUCUCACUGAUUCCUCCUUCCUGAUGAACCGUAAUGCCAUUAAUUUGGUGUUGCGGGGAAUUUGGACUGUUACUUUGAAAAAUUAGAGUGUUUAAAGCAGGCUCACGCUUGAAUACAUUAGCAUGGAAUAAUGAAAUAGGACGUUUGACCCUAUUUUGUUGGUUUCUAGGAUCGACGUAAUGAUUAAUAGGAAUAGUUGGGGCAUUAGUAUUCAAUUGUCAGAGGUGAAAUUCUUGGAUUUAUUGAAGACUAACUACUGCGAAAGCAAUUUUGCCAAGGAUGUUUUCAUUAAUCAAGAACGAAAGUUA
rnacentral:rRNA from 1 species